UCCAUGAGAAAUUAACAGAGGUUUGAUUCUACCCCGAGUCUCCAUCUCCGAUCAACCAACUGCUUCGCUGCUUGCGCCGUCACUGUCCCGUUGCAUCACUAUUUUCUGGUCUGUUAAGAGAGAUCUCUCUGUCUUCUUCUUUUCACUGCGGCGGAGGCAGCAGGAGUGUUGUGCACUAAGAAAGGAUAUUUUAGCCUUUUUGAUAUUAAUAUGGUGUGCACUUAACAAUGAUGGGGUGCAAGAAGCACAAACCAUGUGCGAAUUCUGAAGUGGACGCAUUGUGUUUGGGCAAGCCCAAUCAAACCCAAUUUCAUUGUUAACAAAAACCUAGUUUCACCGAGACAAGUAGUGGCGGCAAACUCCAUUAUUAUCGUUGUCACUUUCAUCCAAAUUCCAAAACCCAGACAAGGCUUAAAAGGUAUUAGGGUUUUCUUUCUCCAUUAUUAUCGUUGCCACUGCCAGACUUAUUCCUUCAUUCCUCUCACACUCUCUUCUCCUCCUCCUCCACCACCCACGUUUUGGGAAACCAGAAGAGAGCACCCUCGUUUCUCCUCCACCCACGUCGCUGGCCAAGAAACACGAAGGCAGAGUGCAGGCCAUUCACGGCGUCUCCUUUCUCCUCCACCGUGACAUCCACCACGUCGCUGGCAGGGGCAGCAGCGCCACCAUCGGACUGCGAUUGACGAACGAUUUCGACAGCCACGACCACCACGAACACAGGGUUGUUUUUGUUGCAAUAAUUUUGUUGAAAUCUGAUUUUGGACUGAAAAUGUAACAUAUGGAAAAAAGCCUGCGGGCCAGCCCGCCAGCUUGCGGGCCGGGUUCAAAAGUGUAACCCAUUUCACCCUUGCGGGCCAGCCCGGCCCGGCCCGUAUAAAUCGUGCCAAAAUCGGGCCGGGUCAAAACGGGCCGGGCUGGCCCGUUUUGACAUCCCUAAAUAUAAGUGAUUUAAAAGCAUCAAUUAAGAAGACUGAAAAUAUUCCUUUGGACGCAUUUGUUAAAAAUACCAAUUCAACUGAGAAAUGUUAGAAUAGGCAUGGAAUAGAAGUUGAGCAAGCUCACAUUACCCUUGUAUCAUUGGAGAGAGUGUUGUGCAGCCUACAAACCUUCAACAUGGCAUUAUUAUUUUAAGUAUUUCUGUCUAAAUGAAAGACUUGUUCUUAAAGGUAGUUUUAGAUUUCUAUAAGGUUUGAUGGUUAAGACUUUUUCCUAUUCAAGGAAUGACCGAGUAACUGAAAGAAAAAAGGAUAUGCAGGGAAAGGCUCUAGAAGGAUCAUGGAACCAUAUCCUUUUAUCUGGUCAUGAAGAAAAAUAGAGUCAAGAAGUCCUAAAAGGGUAUUUAAUUAGGAGAAAUCUUUGUCAUUUAAAUUUUGAAAUAAGUUGAAAUUCCUUGAAAGCCAAAACAAAUAUUGGACACUGAAAAUUGUGGGGAGGACAAUUUAGAGAUUAAAGGUAAUAAAAGCAUGGAAAGACACAAUUUAAGGGGCACUUCCUACGCAUAAGUUGUCCCAAAAUUUAUUGAGUCAUUAGCCUCCUUCAAGGUAAGCAAGUAUUUAAUUAAAGGCAGCGUGAGGGGAAAUGUUUCAAUUGCUAUAUUGAGAGUCUCAAAAACAGUUGUGGCAUAUCCUAUUUGGAUCUAAAACAUACUGAAGAUUAUCUGGUGCCACCCCAUGCCACAUUCGGGCAUUCCCUACUUUUUUAUGCUGCAUAUUAGUUUUGUAAAUAAUUUUAUCAGUUGUAGUAUAUAGAAUAUCGUUAACUUUUAUUUUGUGAAUUUAGAUUUCUUGAGUUGUGUAACUAAAUAACCACUUAAUUUGCUAUAGUUUAAUCAAAGCAACCGUCUGUUCAUAUUUUACUUGAAACAUUGAUUUAACAUAUUUUAGUUGCUAAUGAAUAGAAACUAGAUUUCUACGCAGUUUAUUAUUGUAUAGUGUACUUAAA